UGUACACUUUCCCUUGUCGUUUUGAUCAGGGCUAUGCUUUGAUAGAAUAUGAGAAGAAAGAAGAUGCACAGAAGGCGAUAUCAGCAAUGAAUGGUGCUGAGCUUCUAACGCAGAAUGUCACUGUUGACUGGGCAUUCAGCAGUGGUCCCAGUUCUGGUGGAUCUCACUGGAGAAAAAACCAGAGGUCUGGGAGGUCCCAGCGUUCACGAAGCCCGAGAAGACGUUACUGAUUGUAUUAUGAUUUGGUAUGGAGAGUUGUUUCCACAUCUCUCGGUAUUUGGGAUCCUCUCUCUAUCUGUAAGGUACGGUUACAAGGCGUGAGUGUUGGACAAAUUUUUUUUUGCAGUUAUGUAGGGUUUGGCUGCUUUUGCGUUGUUUAAUCUUAUGCCUUUGUAUGGGAUUUGUUGCGUUUAAACACCAUGAGAUCUGUUUUAAUGCUUUGUGUUGGUAAAAAAAAAAAAAUACAUUGGAUGAGGAAGAUGUUUUAAUUUUCAGUC